rnacentral:lncRNA from 1 species
AUGUGAGAAUAUUCUAGAGUAGUGGAAUAUUCUAGAACAUAUGAGAAUAGGUAGAUAUGAAUAUUGUUUAGGAUACUUAUAUGGAAUAUUCUAGAAUAGCGUAGAACAUGGAGGUUGAUGCCUAUAAAUAGGGGAAGACCUCUUGAUUUGUAUGAUGUACAAAAGGAGUGAAGCAAAGUGUGAGCCCAAGUGUGUACCAAAGUGAUCCCUUGUGUAAUAAAAGUUGAAGAAUUACAAAAGUCUCUNNN